CGAACGAUGAACCACACUUCGGGUGGGGAUUAGUGGCGAACGGGUGAGUAACACGUGGGCAAUCUGCCCUGCACUCUGGGACAAGCCCUGGAAACGGGGUCUAAUACCGGAUAUGAGCUUCCACCGCAUGGUGGGGGCUGUAAAGCUCCGGCGGUGCAGGAUGAGCCCGCGGCCUAUCAGCUUGUUGGUGAGGUAACGGCUCACCAAGGCGACGACGGGUAGCCGGCCUGAGAGGGCGACCGGCCACACUGGGACUGAGACACGGCCCAGACUCCUACGGGAGGCAGCAGUGGGGAAUAUUGCACAAUGGGCGCAAGCCUGAUGCAGCGACGCCGCGUGAGGGAUGACGGCCUUCGGGUUGUAAACCUCUUUCAGCAGGGAAGAAGCGAAAGUGACGGUACCUGCAGAAGAAGCGCCGGCUAACUACGUGCCAGCAGCCGCGGUAAUACGUAGGGCGCGAGCGUUGUCCGGAAUUAUUGGGCGUAAAGAGCUCGUAGGCGGCUUGUCGCGUCGGUUGUGAAAGCCCGGGGCUUAACCCCGGGUCUGCAGUCGAUACGGGCAGGCUAGAGUUCGGUAGGGGAGAUCGGAAUUCCUGGUGUAGCGGUGAAAUGCGCAGAUAUCAGGAGGAACACCGGUGGCGAAGGCGGAUCUCUGGGCCGAUACUGACGCUGAGGAGCGAAAGCGUGGGGAGCGAACAGGAUUAGAUACCCUGGUAGUCCACGCCGUAAACGGUGGGCACUAGGUGUGGGCAACAUUCCACGUUGUCCGUGCCGCAGCUAACGCAUUAAGUGCCCCGCCUGGGGAGUACGGCC
rnacentral:rRNA from 1 species